AUCCAGCUAACGAGUCCCAAAUAGGACGAAACGCAUGUCCUGGAU
rnacentral:hammerhead_ribozyme from 1 species